rnacentral:rRNA from 1 species
AGUGAACGCUGGCGGUAGGCCUAACACAUGCAAGUCGAACGGCAGCACAGUAAGAGCUUGCUCUUACGGGUGGCGAGUGGCGGACGGGUGAGGAAUACAUCGGAAUCUACUUUUUCGUGGGGGAUAACGUAGGGAAACUUACGCUAAUACCGCAUACGACCUACGGGUGAAAGCAGGGGAUCUUCGGACCUUGCGCGAUUGAAUGAGGCGAUGUCGGAUUAGCUAGUUGGCGGGGUAAAGGCCCACCAAGGCGACGAUCCGUAGCUGGUCUGAGAGGAUGAUCAGCCACACUGGAACUGAGACACGGUCCGGACUCCUACGGGAGGCAGCAGUGGGGAAUAUUGGACAAUGGGCGCAAGCCUGAUCCAGCCAUACCGCGUGGGUGAAGAAGGCCUUCGGGUUGUAAAGCCCUUUUGUUGGGAAAGAAAAGCAGCAGGUUAAUACCCCGCUGUUCUGACGGUACCCAAAGAAUAAGCACCGGCUAACUUCGUG